rnacentral:rRNA from 1 species
GACGAACGCUGGCGGCGUGCUUAACACAUGCAAGUCGAACGAUGAAGCCCAGCUUGCUGGGUGGAUUAGUGGCGAACGGGUGAGUAACACGUGAGUAACCUGCCCCGGACUCUGGGAUAACCCCGAGAAAUCGGAGCUAAUACCGGAUAGGACCUUCCCUCGCAUGGGGGGUGGUGGAAAGUUUUUCGGUCUGGGAUGGACUCGCGGCCUAUCAGCUGGUUGGUGAGGUAAUGGCUCACCAAGGCGUCGACGGGUAGCCGGCCUGAGAGGGUGACCGGCCACACUGGGACUGAGACACGGCCCAGACUCCUACGGGAGGCAGCAGUGGGGAAUAUUGCACAAUGGGCGCAAGCCUGAUGCAGCAACGCCGCGUGCGGGAUGACGGCCUUCGGGUUGUAAACCGCUUUUGUCAGGGAAGAAGCCUUUCGGGGUGACGGUACCUGGAGAAAAAGGACCGGCUAACUACGUGCCAGCAGCCGCAGUAAAAC